rnacentral:rRNA from 1 species
AGUGAACGCUGGCGGCAGGCCUAACACAUGCAAGUCGAGCGGCAGCGCGGGGGCAACCCUGGCGGCGAGCGGCGGACGGGUGAGGAAUUCGUCGGAAUCUGCCUUUUUGUGGGGGAUAACGUAGGGAAACUUACGCUAAUACCGCAUACGUCCUACGGGAGAAAGUGGGGGACCGCAAGGCCUCACGCAGAAAGAUGAGCCGACGACCGAUUAGCUAGUUGGUGGGGUAAAGGCCCACCAAGGCGACGAUCGGUAGCUGGUCUGAGAGGAUGAUCAGCCACACUGGGACUGAGACACGGCCCAGACUCCUACGGGAGGCAGCAGUGGGGAAUAUUGGACAAUGGGCGCAAGCCUGAUCCAGCCAUGCCGCGUGUGUGAAGAAGGCCUUCGGGUUGUAAAGCACUUUUGCCCGGAAAGAAAUCCCUGGAGCUAAUACCUUCGGGGGAUGACGGUACCGGAAGAAUAAGCACCGGCUAACUUCGUG